UACGUACAAAGUUUUAUUAAAAAUAAAAAUAAGAAUUGUCAUACAUGCAUGUGUUUUAAAUUGUCGGUAGUCGGUGAUAAUAAUAUGUUUCAUGUAUUCUAAUUUUUCUUUAUAUGCUUAUAUUUAUAUUGUAAUUGUAU